GAGCUGUAUUUUUUGUGGAUAUUUACAUACAAGACAUUUCACACUCCCCGUGUCUUGUUGUUUUUCUUGUUUUAGUGCUGGUUCUAUUAUCCAUCAGAGGUUUGCUCGUGCUGCAAGGAGUGGCGAGACCCUCGUCCAUGGCCACGUCCAUAGCUGUACGUCGCCUUGUCACAGCGCAGGGCCUGCAGCUUCGCCGAGCACUGCAGCCUGACCCCUGCGCUGCCCGCGCCUGUUUCCAUCUCGCUAGCAAUGGGAGGGGUGUGGUUUUGCUGUGAGUCUUUUGGAGAAUUUUGGGUUGUUUUGAUGCUCGCGUUGUACAGAUGUUUUGGUUCUUUUUUGGGUGUUUUGUGUGCAUGUAUUCAACGGAACGUGGGAUUUGUGUUGAUGUAUUGCGUUGGUUUUGUUGUUAAUCUUGUGUGCUUUAGAGCGCUGUUGUUUCCCAGGAGUCAAAGUUUGGUCAAAUCUCAUGCAACGGUACGCCUUGGCUGUCGUUUCUCUUUUGGAGAUGUUUCGGCUUGUUGUGCCAUCAUUGCAAUUACUGUCGCGACAGCUUGUUUGAUUAGGUUUGGUUUGGUUUUCUUUGUUUGUUUUAAUGAUUUUAUGUAGUGAGGAGUGAGCUGAAAUGCUUCCAAAGAGAUUGCAGAGACACCUUGCAGCUAGAGAUUGUGGAACCUGUUAAAUGAGAUUCAGAAGGUCUGCAGCCUUGGGCGAUGUGGCGCAAAUUUAGAGCGUGAAUUUGCAUAAUGCUGUGGUGUAUGGGAUUGAUUGCACCUGAUUAUUGAGCUGCAAAAGAGUAGUUGGAUUUUUUUCACAGGAACAUGUACUUGUCAGAACAAUUUAUGGGUAGAUCCCAGUAGUUUGCAGUCGUUCUUGGCGCUUGGAAUCGUUGGCCGUCUUGAAUUGCUACAAUUUCAUCCGUCCUUAAAGCAAGCAAUAAAAGUUUGAAAAGAUUUUUCUUCUGGGUUGAGCUAUAAAGAUGCUUUAAAUGAAUUGGCAAGCUUUAGCAUAAUUGUUACAGUUCACUUGGAGGCGCCUUAGAGAACCUAGCUGUAAGACGCUUGCAAUUCAGUAAUAAUCUAAUAGAUUUAGCGUUCAGCUGAGUUAGACGAGAGAGGUUUCUCGCUCAUAGGCGCCGUCCUCGAUGUGGGUCUCAUGACUCGCCGCAGCAAGUUUGUCCUCUCGUCCACAGUUUGAGCAAUUUUGAUACAAUUCGAGGGUUGGCAAUGAAAGAACCAGUAGUUCGACCAAUAGAAAAUUUUGAUGAGAGGACCAACAUUCAUGUAAGGAUUGGCAAUAAGUUUCUACAUUAAUUUUACAUGAACAACAUGAAUGUUAUCUUUUAAUAUGCACCGUGGAAUAUGGAUUUCUGUGACGCUUACUUUUGCACCAUGCAUGCAACAGUGGCCGAAGCAGCUCAAUGUCAAUAUCGUUUAGGUCGAUCCCGAAAUUACUGACAUCAUUGAACACGAGAAAAAUCUUCAAUGGAAGGUAUGAUUUCUAGCACUGUUUCCAUUAUGUUUAUGUCAGAAUAUCAAGUGGUGUUUGAUGCUUGCAUUGCCUUUUUUAGGGCUUGACGAUGUUGUAUCUUCCUCCACUCGUGUCACGAUUGACAGGGCCUCGAGUUGAUCCCAUCAGAGAAUUUCACGUCUGUUUCAGUUAUGCAGGCAGUAGGUUCCGUCAUGACCAAUAAGUACAGUGAAGGAUAUCCUGGUGCUCUCUAGUACGGUGGUAACGAAUGCGUCUUCUCCCCUUCUCGUCUUUAAUCGAUUUUCUUCAACACAUCUUCACUGCGACAUUGGAUGUAAUUUUUCCAUUUAUUAUGUCGUACUGACUUCUCUAUACAAAUGCAGAUUUAUUGAUAAGGCAGAAAGGUAGUGUCAAAACAGUGCUCCCGCAGCUUUCCUCCUUGACCUAGACAAAGGAGUUUGCUUCUUUUAUCUGUAUUUGAACAAACCUUAAGCUAUUAGACUGUGUCUCUGACCUCGAAAUUGUUCCUGCCUUAUUUAGUGUAGCAUACUACACUAAUAUGAAACAUCUGUUGAACAAUGAAUUUGCAGCCCCUCGCUGGAUCACCAGCCAACUUUCAGGUUAACACAGCUCUCUUGAAGCCACAUGAGCGCAUAAUAGUUUUAAAUCUUCCCCAUGGUGGUAAUAUAUCUCGUGGGUCCCGGGUGUGACUGCUGACAAAGCUCUUUGCAUGCUACUUUUCAUUACUGACUUCACAGCGCCACAGAAUUUGUUCAGCUAUUUUUGUGCUUGUUAGUAGCUUUAAAUUUCUCGAAUUGCCAUGCAUUUACUAAUUGGCUCUGGAUUUCAUGGCAACCUACGGAUACAAAGAAAACCUUGGCUGUUUCAAUUUCCUUUGAGACCAUGCCCUGGAGACUAGACGAGUCAACCCGUUACUUUGACUGUGAUACGGCCAAAACUGAUAGUAGCUGGUUCUAGUGCCUAUGCUCGCCAUUACGACUACACUGGUAUGAGUAAGCGAAUAGAUGCCGAGUUUUCUGCAGUGAGAGGGCAUGCACCUUCGGCUUGUUUUCUGCAGUUUGUGGGACUUACUUUGACCACAACUUUCAAAAAUUUAUCCAGGAUUAGUUUCCAUUGUUUCAUGGACUAAACUCCUAAGGAUAGUAUAAAAUGAUAAAUAGUAAAAGUACUCAUUUUGUUGAAUCUCAUAAGUAAAGCAAUGUUUGGGCU